rnacentral:rRNA from 1 species
UACGGGGGGAGCAAGCGUUGUUCGGAUUUACUGGGCGUAAAGGGCGCGUAGGCGGCCACUGCAAGUCAGUUGUGAAAUCCCCGGGCUCACCCCGGGACCUGCAUCCCAAACUGCUGAGCUUGAGUACAGGAGAGGGUGGGGGAAUUCCAGGUGUAGCGGUGAAAUGCGUAGAUAUCUGGAGGAACACCGGUGGCGAAGGCGGCGUUCUGGACUGCAACUGACACUGAGGAACGAAAGCCAGGGGAGCAAACGGG